GACGAACGCUGGCGGCGUGCUUAACACAUGCAAGUCGAACGGUAAGGCCCUUCGGGGUACACGAGUGGCGAACGGGUGAGUAACACGUGGGUGAUCUGCCCUGCACUUCGGGAUAAGCCUGGGAAACUGGGUCUAAUACCGGAUAGGACUCCGGACUGCAUGGUCUGGGGUGGAAAGCUUUUGCGGUGUGGGAUGGGCCCGCGGCCUAUCAGCUUGUUGGUGGGGUGAUGGCCUACCAAGGCGACGACGGGUAGCCGGCCUGAGGGGGUGACCGGCCGCACUGGGACUGAGAUACGGCCCAGACUCCUACGGGAGGCAGCAGUGGGGAAUAUUGCACAAUGGGCGCAAGCCUGAUGCAGCGACGCCGCGUGAGGGAUGACGGCCUUCGGGUUAUAAACCUCUUUCAGCACAGACGAAGCGCAAGUGACGGUAUGUGCAGAAGAAGGACCGGCCAACUACGUGCCAGCAGCCGCAGUAA
rnacentral:rRNA from 1 species